rnacentral:rRNA from 2 species
AGCGUACACGGUGGAUGCCCUGGCAGUCAGAGGCGAUGAAGGACGUGCUAAUCUGCGAUAAGCGUCGGUAAGGUGAUAUGAACCGUUAUAACCGGCGAUUUCCGAAUGGGGAAACCCAGUGUGUUUCGACACACUAUCAUUAACUGAAUCCAUAGGUUAAUGAGGCGAACCGGGGGAACUGAAACAUCUAAGUACCCCGAGGAAAAGAAAUCAACCGAGAUUCCCCCAGUAGCGGCGAGCGAACGGGGAGGAGCCCAGAGCCUGAAUCAGUGUGUGUGUUAGUGGAAGCGUCUGGAAAGGCGCGCGAUACAGGGUGACAGCCCCGUACACAAAAAUGCACAUGCUGUGAGCUCGAUGAGUAGGGCGGGACACGUGGUAUCCUGUCUGAAUAUGGGGGGACCAUCCUCCAAGGCUAAAUACUCCUGACUGACCGAUAGUGAACCAGUACCGUGAGGGAAAGGCGAAAAGAACCCCGGCGAGGGGAGUGAAAAAGAACCUGAAACCGUGUACGUACAAGCAGUGGGAGCACGCUUAGGCGUGUGACUGCGUACCUUUUGUAUAAUGGGUCAGCGACUUAUAUUCUGUAGCAAGGUUAACCGAAUAGGGGAGCCGAAGGGAAACCGAGUCUUAACUGGGCGUUAAGUUGCAGGGUAUAGACCCGAAACCCGGUGAUCUAGCCAUGGGCAGGUUGAAGGUUGGGUAACACUAACUGGAGGACCGAACCGACUAAUGUUGAAAAAUUAGCGGAUGACUUGUGGCUGGGGGUGAAAGGCCAAUCAAACCGGGAGAUAGCUGGUUCUCCCCGAAAGCUAUUUAGGUAGCGCCUCGUGAAUUCAUCUCCGGGGGUAGAGCACUGUUUCGGCAAGGGGGUCAUCCCGACUUACCAACCCGAUGCAAACUGCGAAUACCGGAGAAUGUUAUCACGGGAGACACACGGCGGGUGCUAACGUCCGUCGUGAAGAGGGAAACAACCCAGACCGCCAGCUAAGGUCCCAAAGUCAUGGUUAAGUGGGAAACGAUGUGGGAAGGCCCAGACAGCCAGGAUGUUGGCUUAGAAGCAGCCAUCAUUUAAAGAAAGCGUAAUAGCUCACUGGUCGAGUCGGCCUGCGCGGAAGAUGUAACGGGGCUAAACCAUGCACCGAAGCUGCGGCAGCGACGCUUAUGCGUUGUUGGGUAGGGGAGCGUUCUGUAAGCCUGUGAAGGUGUGCUGUGAGGCAUGCUGGAGGUAUCAGAAGUGCGAAUGCUGACAUAAGUAACGAUAAAGCGGGUGAAAAGCCCGCUCGCCGGAAGACCAAGGGUUCCUGUCCAACGUUAAUCGGGGCAGGGUGAGUCGACCCCUAAGGCGAGGCCGAAAGGCGUAGUCGAUGGGAAACAGGUUAAUAUUCCUGUACUUGGUGUUACUGCGAAGGGGGGACGGAGAAGGCUAUGUUGGCCGGGCGACGGUUGUCCCGGUUUAAGCGUGUAGGCUGGUUUUCCAGGCAAAUCCGGAAAAUCAAGGCUGAGGCGUGAUGACGAGGCACUACGGUGCUGAAGCAACAAAUGCCCUGCUUCCAGGAAAAGCCUCUAAGCAUCAGGUAACAUCAAAUCGUACCCCAAACCGACACAGGUGGUCAGGUAGAGAAUACCAAGGCGCUUGAGAGAACUCGGGUGAAGGAACUAGGCAAAAUGGUGCCGUAACUUCGGGAGAAGGCACGCUGAUAUGUAGGUGAAGUCCCUCGCGGAUGGAGCUGAAAUCAGUCGAAGAUACCAGCUGGCUGCAACUGUUUAUUAAAAACACAGCACUGUGCAAACACGAAAGUGGACGUAUACGGUGUGACGCCUGCCCGGUGCCGGAAGGUUAAUUGAUGGGGUUAGCGCAAGCGAAGCUCUUGAUCGAAGCCCCGGUAAACGGCGGCCGUAACUAUAACGGUCCUAAGGUAGCGAAAUUCCUUGUCGGGUAAGUUCCGACCUGCACGAAUGGCGUAAUGAUGGCCAGGCUGUCUCCACCCGAGACUCAGUGAAAUUGAACUCGCUGUGAAGAUGCAGUGUACCCGCGGCAAGACGGAAAGACCCCGUGAACCUUUACUAUAGCUUGACACUGAACAUUGAGCCUUGAUGUGUAGGAUAGGUGGGAGGCUUUGAAGUGUGGACGCCAGUCUGCAUGGAGCCGACCUUGAAAUACCACCCUUUAAUGUUUGAUGUUCUAACGUUGACCCGUAAUCCGGGUUGCGGACAGUGUCUGGUGGGUAGUUUGACUGGGGCGGUCUCCUCCUAAAGAGUAACGGAGGAGCACGAAGGUUGGCUAAUCCUGGUCGGACAUCAGGAGGUUAGUGCAAUGGCAUAAGCCAGCUUGACUGCGAGCGUGACGGCGCGAGCAGGUGCGAAAGCAGGUCAUAGUGAUCCGGUGGUUCUGAAUGGAAGGGCCAUCGCUCAACGGAUAAAAGGUACUCCGGGGAUAACAGGCUGAUACCGCCCAAGAGUUCAUAUCGACGGCGGUGUUUGGCACCUCGAUGUCGGCUCAUCACAUCCUGGGGCUGAAGUAGGUCCCAAGGGUAUGGCUGUUCGCCAUUUAAAGUGGUACGCGAGCUGGGUUUAGAACGUCGUGAGACAGUUCGGUCCCUAUCUGCCGUGGGCGCUGGAGAACUGAGGGGGGCUGCUCCUAGUACGAGAGGACCGGAGUGGACGCAUCACUGGUGUUCGGGUUGUCAUGCCAAUGGCACUGCCCGGUAGCUAAAUGCGGAAGAGAUAAGUGCUGAAAGCAUCUAAGCACGAAACUUGCCCCGAGAUGAGUUCUCCCUGACUCCUUGA